CAGUCGCCACGGUAAUACCAGCAGCCCAAGUGGUGGUCGCGUUUAUUGGGCCUAAAGCGCUCGUAGCCUGACCGGUAAGUUCCCCGUGAAAUCGGGUCGCCCAACGAUUCGGCUUGCGGGGAAUACUGUCGGUCUUGGGGCCGGGAGACGCCGAGGGUACUCCGGGGGUAGCGGUGAAAUGCUGUAAUCCUCGGGGGACUACCAGUGGCGAAGGCGCUCGGCGAUAACGGGCCUGACGGUGAGGGGCGAAAGCUGGGGGCGCGAACGGGAUUAGAUACCUCAGUAGUCCCUGUCUCUUAUA
rnacentral:rRNA from 1 species